rnacentral:rRNA from 1 species
GAUGAACGCUGGCGGCGUGCUUAACACAUGCAAGUCGAACGGAAAGGCCCAAGCUUGCUUGGGUACUCGAGUGGCGAGCGGGUGAGUAACACGUGGGUGAUCUGCCCUGCACUUCGGGAUAAGCCUGGGAAACUGGGUCUAAUACCGGAUAGGACCACAUUUUGGAUGGUGUGGUGGAAAGUUUUUCGGUGUGGGAUGAGCUCGCGGCCUAUCAGCUUGUUGGUGGGGUAAUGGCCUACCAAGGCGUCGACGGGUAGCCGGCCUGAGAGGGUGUACGGCCACAUUAGGACUGAGAUACGGCCCAGACUCCUACGGGAGGCAGCAGUGGGGAAUAUUGCACAAUGGGCGCAAGCCUGAUGCAGCGACGCCGCGUGGGGGAUGACGGCCUUCGGGUUGUAAACUCCUUUCGCUAGGGACGAAGCGUUUUUGUGACGGUACCUGGAGAAGAAGCACCGGCUAACUACGUG